AGGAAUGAAGUGGAGAAUGUUAAGGAAAUAAAGGAUAAUCUAAAAGUCCUCGAACGGAAAGCAUUAACCCUGAAAGAAGAACUACUGGAAGCUGAAGGAGAGAAUAAAGCAUAUAAAAAUGAAUUAAACACAGAGAAAUAAUCUUUCAAACGAGUAAACAAAUUGAUCAGAUUAGGAUAAAGAUUUCUACAUUGAAGAAUGAACGGCACUGGAACGAAAAGAAAAUAAUGAAUCUCCAAACUGAAUGUACAGAUUUAAGUGGGCGAGCAUGUAUUACAAGUAGCUUAGUGUUGACUGCUGAACAACGAAUUCAGCAGAUGGAUGGUAUACUCUCAGCACACUGUGCGGCUUACAAUA